UACGUAGGGGGCAAGCGUUAUCCGGAUUUACUGGGUGUAAAGGGAGCGUAGACGGCGAUGCAAGUCUGAAGUGAAAGGCGGGGGCCCAACCCCCGGACUGCUUUGGAAACUGUAGGGCUGGAGUGCCGGAGAGGUAGGCGGAAUUCCUAGUGUAGCGGUGAAAUGCGUAGAUAUUAGGAGGAACACCAGUGGCGAAGGCGGCCUACUGGACGGUGACUGACGCUGAGGCUCGAAAGCGUGGGGAGCAAACAGG
rnacentral:rRNA from 1 species